CAAGAGUUCAUAUCGACGGCGGUGUUUGGCACCUCGAUGUCGGCUCAUCACAUCCUGGGGCUGAAGUAGGUCCCAAGGGUAUGGCUGUUCGCCAUUUAAAGUGGUACGCGAGCUGGGUUUAGAACGUCGUGAGACAGUUCGGUCCCUAUCUGCCGUGGGCGCUGGAGAAUUGAGGGGGCUGCUCCUAGUACGAGAGGACCGGAGUGGACGCAUCACUGGUGUUCGGGUUGUCAUGCCAAUGGCAUUGCCCGGUAGCUAAAUGCGGAAGAGAUAAGUGCUGAAAGCAUCUAAGCACGAAACUUGCCCCGAGAUGAGUUCUCCCUGAGACUUUAAGUCUCCUGAAGGAACGUUGAAGACGACGACGUUGAUAGGCCGGGUGUGUAAGCGCAGCGAUGCGUUGAGCUAACCGGUACUAAUGAACCGUGAGGCUUAACCUUACAACGCCGAAG
rnacentral:rRNA from 1 species